rnacentral:tRNA from 1 species
AUUCAAAUAGCUUAUAUUUAGAGUAUGACACUGAAGAUGUUAGGGAGAUAAAUUUAUCUUUGAAUAU